CGAAUUGCGCGGGCAGCGCUGGAAAACGAAUGCAAUAAUCUUUCAACACUUGUUAGACAUUUACCGUGUUAUCCACGACAAUCGUGCGGAUAAGAUGAUUAUUGGAUAGUAACGGGAACCUCGCCGAGAAAAGAGGAUCAUGAUCGGAACUUAACUUUCAAGGACGGCUCAUAGAUGGCUAGCGAUAUCACCAUUUGGCCAUAAACAAAGUGUGACGGAGGAAGGAAUGACGUUUCUCACUACGAUCUGGAUGUUUUCUUAACUGUCGGUAUAAGGGUAGCACGGAAAAAUCUGCCAAGUAGAAGUGUGGUUCAGUGCUCAUAUUUAUAAUAUCACAUACACUUCGUUGGUGAGAGUUGUCAAUGCUUGCCUUUUAGUC